rnacentral:rRNA from 1 species
GCCAUGCAUGUCUCAGUGCAAGCCACACUAAGGUGAAACCGCAAAUGGCUCAUUAAAUCAGUUAUGAUUUAUUAGAUGAUACAUUAUAUUACUUGGAUAACUGUGGCAAUUCUAGAGCUAAUACAUGCAAACAGAGUUCCUGCUUUUAAUGGCAGGAACGCUUUUAUUAGAUCAAAACCAAUACGUUAGUUUCGGCUAACGAUAUCAUUGGUGACUCUGAAUAACUUUUUGAUGAUCGCAUAGUCUUGUACUAGCGACAAAUCUUUCAAAUGUCUGACUUAUCAACUGUCGAUGGUAGGCUUUACGCCUACCAUGGUUGUAACGGGUAACGGGGAAUCAGGGUUCGAUUCCGGAGAGGGAGCCUGAGAAACGGCUACCACAUCCAAGGAAGGCAGCAGGCGCGCAAAUUACCCACUCCCAGCACGGGGAGGUAGUGACGAAAAAUAACGAUACGGGACUCAUCCGAGGCCCCGUAAUCGGAAUGAGCACACUUUAAAUACUUUAACAAGUAUCCAUUGGAGGGCAAGUCUGGUGCCAGCAGCUGCGGUAAUUCCAGCUCCAAUAGCGUAUAUUAAAGUUGUUGCGGUAAAAAGCUCGUAGUUGAAGUGGAUUCGCACUGGGUGCACCAAUUGUGGUUUUCUGAACCAGAGGUAAUGAUUGAUAGGAACGGACGGGGGCAUUCGUAUUGAGACGUUAGAGGUGAAAUUCUUGGAUCGUCUCAAGACGGACAGAAGCGAAAGCAUUUGCCAAGAACGUUUUCAUUAAUCAAGAACGAAAGUUAGAGGUUCGAAGGCGAUCAGAUACCGCCCUAGUUCUAACCAUAAACGAUGCCAGCCAGCGAUCCGCUGAAGUUCCUCCGAUGACUUAGCGGGCAGCUUACGGGAAACCAAA